CCUACGGGGCGCAGCAGUGAGGAAUAUUGGGCAAUGGGCGCAAGCCUGACCAGCAACGCCGCGUGAAGGAAGAAGGCUUUCAGGUUGUAAACUUCUUUUCUCAGGGACGAAGCAAGUGACGGUACCUGAGGAAUAAGCCACGGCUAACUACGUGCCAGCAGCCGCGGUAAUACGUAGGUGGCAAGCGUUAUCCGGAUUUACUGGGUGUAAAGGGAGCGUAGGUGGCAUGGUAAGCCAGAAGUGAAAACCCAGGGCUCAACUCUGUGGAUUGCUUUUGGAACUAUCAAGCUAGAGUGCUGGAGGGG
rnacentral:rRNA from 1 species